AUCUUCCGCAAUGGACGAAAGUCUGACGGAGCAACGCCGCGUGAGUGAUGAAGGCUUUCGGGUCGUAAAACUCUGUUGUUAGGGAAGAACAAGUGCUAGUUGAAUAAGCUGGCACCUUGACGGUACCUAACCAGAAAGCCACGGCUAACUACGUGCCAGCAGCCGCGGUAAUACGUAGGUGGCAAGCGUUAUCCGGAAUUAUUGGGCGGAAAGCGCGCGCAGGUGGUUUCUUAAGUUUAAUGUGAAAGACAACGGCUCAACCGUGGAGGGUCAUGGGAAACUGAGAGACUUGAGUGCGGAAGAGGAAAGUGGAAUUCCAUGUGUAGCGGUGAAAUGCGUAGAGAUAUGGAGGAACACCAGUGGCGAAGGCGACUUUCUGGUCUGUAACUGACACUGAGGCGCGAAAGCGUGGGGAGCAAACAG
rnacentral:rRNA from 1 species